GCAUAUCAAUAAGCGGAGGAAAAGAAACCAACCGGGAUUGCCUUAGUAACGGCGAGUGAAGCGGCAAAAGCUCAAAUUUGAAAUCUGGUACCUUCGGUGCCCGAGUUGUAAUUUGGAGAGGGCAACUUUGGGGCCGUUCCUUGUCUAUGUUCCUUGGAACAGGACGUCAUAGAGGGUGAGAAUCCCGUGUGGCGAGGAGUGCGGUUCUUUGUAAAGUGCCUUCGAAGAGUCGAGUUGUUUGGGAAUGCAGCUCUAAGUGGGUGGUAAAUUCCAUCUAAAGCUAAAUAUUGGCGAGAGACCGAUAGCGAACAAGUACAGUGAUGGAAAGAUGAAAAGAACUUUGAAAAGAGAGUGAAAAAGUACGUGAAAUUGUUGAAAGGGAAGGGCAUUUGAUCAGACAUGGUGUUUUGUGCCCUCUGCUCCUUGUGGGUAGGGGAAUCUCGCAUUUCACUGGGCCAGCAUCAGUUUUGGUGGCAGGAUAAAUCCAUAGGAAUGUAGCUUGCCUCGGUAAGUAUUAUAGCCUGUUGGGAAUACUGCCAGCUGGGACUGAGGACUGCGACGUAAGUCAAGGAUGCUGGCAUAAUGGUUAUAUGCCGCCCGUCU
rnacentral:rRNA from 1 species